rnacentral:rRNA from 1 species
GACGAACCGUGCAAACGUUAUUCGGAAUCACUGGGCAUAAAGCGCACGUAGGCGGCUUUGUAAGUUAGAGGUGAAAGCCCAGGGCUCAACCCUGGAAUUGCCUUUAAGACUGCAUCGCUAGAAUUGUGGAGAGGUAAGUGGAAUUCCGAGUGUAGAGGUGAAAUUCGUAGAUAUUCGGAAGAACACUAGUGGCGAAGGCGACUUACUGGACACAUAUUGACGCUGAGGUGCGAAAGCGUGGGGAGCAAACAGG